rnacentral:rRNA from 1 species
GACGAACGCUGGCGGCGUGCUUAACACAUGCAAGUCGAACGGAAAGGCCCUGCUUUUGUGGGGUGCUCGAGUGGCGAACGGGUGAGUAACACGUGAGUAACCUGCCCUUGACUUUGGGAUAACUUCAGGAAACUGGGGCUAAUACCGGAUAGGAGCUCCUGCUGCAUGGUGGGGGUUGGAAAGUUUCGGCGGGUGGGGAUGGACUCGCGGCUUAUCAGCUUGUUGGUGGGGUAGUGGCUUACCAAGGCUUUGACGGGUAGCCGGCCUGAGAGGGUGACCGGCCACAUUGGGACUGAGAUACGGCCCAGACUCCUACGGGAGGCAGCAGUGGGGAAUAUUGCACAAUGGGCGGAAGCCUGAUGCAGCAACGCCGCGUGCGGGAUGACGGCCUUCGGGUUUUAACCCGCUUUCGCCUGUGACGAAGCGUGAGUGACGGUAAUGGGUUAAGAAGCACCGGCUAACUACGUG